rnacentral:rRNA from 1 species
UACGAGGGGGGCGAGCGUUGUUCGGAAUUAUUGGGCGUAAAGGGUGCGUAGGCGGUUUGGUAAGUCUGAUGUGAAAUCUAUGGGCUCAACUCAUAGUCUGCAUCGGAAACUGCCGGGCUUGAGUGUGGGAGAGGUGAGUGGAAUUCCUGGUGUAGCGGUGAAAUGCGUAGAUAUCAGGAGGAACACCUGUGGCGAAAGCGGCUCACUGGACCAUAACUGACGCUGAUGCACGAAAGCUGGGGGGAGCAAACAGG